GCAAGUCGAACGGGAUUAGUUGUAUUUAUAUGACUAUGAGAGUGGCGCACGGGUGCGUAACACGUAUACAAUCUGCCCCUAACUGGAGAAUAGCCCGGCGAAAGUCGGAUUAAUACUCCAUAAUAUUGCGAGAUGGCAUUAUCUUGUUAUUAAAGUUUUAACGGUUAGGGAUGAGUAUGCGCAACAUUAGCUAGUUGGAGAGGUAAAAGCUCACCAAGGCUACGAUGUUUAGGGGGUCUGAGAGGAUUUUC
rnacentral:rRNA from 1 species